AGAUCAAGCUCCUCCGAAGACUGGGACUUCUCCACUGAAGCUGGGCAGGGCCGGAAGCCUUCCUCAGUUCCUUUAUAUACACUUCUUGUGCUGAGUCACCCUGGGGC